rnacentral:rRNA from 1 species
UACGUAGGGUGCGAGCGUUGUCCGGAAUUAUUGGCGUAAAGAGCUUGUAGGCGGUCUGUCGCGUCUGCUGUGAAAAUCCGGGGCUCAACCCCGGACUUGCAGUGGGUACGGCAGACUAGAGUGUGGUAGGGAGACUGAAUUCCUGGUGUAGCGGUGAAAUGCGCAGAUAUCAGGAGGAACACCGAUGGCGAAGGCAGGUCUCUGGGCCAUUACCUGACGCUGAGGAGCGAAAGUGUGGGAGGCGAACAGG